rnacentral:rRNA from 1 species
GCCGCGGUAAAACCAGCACCUCAAGUGGUCAGGAUGAUUAUUGGGCCUAAAGCAUCCGUAGCCUGCUUUGUUAGUUUUCGGUUAAAUCCAUGUGCUUAACGCAUGGGCUGCCGAAAAUACUGCAAAGCUAGGGAGUGGGAGAGGUAGACGGUACUCAGUAGGAAGGGGUAAAAUCCUUUGAUCUAUUGAUGACCACCUGUGGCGAAGGCGGUCUACCAGAACACGUUCGACGGUGAGGGAUGAAAGCUGGGGGAGCAAACCGGAUUAGAUACCCGGGUAGUCCCAGCUGUAAACGAUGCAGACUCGAUGAUGCGUUGGCAUAUAGCCAGUGCAGUGUCGCAGGGAAGCCGUUAAGUCUGCCGCCUGGGAAGUACGUACGCAAGUAUGAAACUUAAAGGAAUUGGCGGGGGAGCA